CCUCUCUCUCUCUCUCCCCCUCACUCUCUCUCUCCGGCGGCGGCACAAGCGGCGGCGGCGGCGGCGGCGACCUCGGCCCCAAUCCCGUCUCUCUGGAGACAAGCGCGGCGGCGUGUUCGCACCCAUGGCUUGAAAAGCUCCUCCUCCACAGCUGGCACCCUUCUCCACACGCGGCGGCGGCGGGAUUCCAGCGAGAUCCCGGCGUGCAAGCUACAACCGGGACUUAGGCCUCCUCCAUGGUGCCCCCGUCCUCAUGGAGAUGAGAUCCUGCUGGUGAAUCCCCAUCCUCUCAUCCCCUCCCCUUCCUCGUGCCCCUAACCCACAUAUCCGCUUUGCAGGAUGUGGUGUUGCAGGUGGAGCAGGGAGCAGGAGGAGCUCGUGCAGCUUAUGCAUGACUUGGAAGGAGAUUGAAGGGUAAUUUCUUGCUGUUCUUUUUCUUGCUUUAGACAGGAGUUGAAACAUUAACACACUUCUUUACCUGGAAGUACCAGUGCAGUUAAGAUAUUUGGAUUCUUACCUGUAGUACCAGUGCAUAGUCAUUUGUUUACAGCUAACAGUAAUAUUUUUUUCAAGCAAGCAGUUUGUGAAUAUAUUUAUUUGACCACUUCCUUUCCCUGGUCUCAAUUCUUCUUAUUCAAACCUUUUACGUUACAGCAGAAAUUUGUGAAUCAUUAAGUCACUAGCAAAAAGUAAACUUCUUUAGACAUGCUUCCUCUACUUCCCACAAACUUGUGGUAUGCCUGCAAGAACAUAUCCAUGAAACCAAGAAUCCAGCAACAUACAGCAGGUGGUAUUGUCAGUGUCAACUUUCUUCCAGACAUUCCAUUCUCCUAAGCACCUCUGGGCAACAAUAGACUAGACACGUUUUACUGCUUAUUAGUUUGAAUACCCUGUAGCUAUUAGUUUGAAUUCAGAAUAAGUCCCUUCCGAAUUCAAUUAUGCAGCUCCCUUGCUGCUGACCCAUGGUAUUGUUUUGGAGCAGAUGUCUUUCUGUCUACUCUGUCUCCUACUGUUAACUCUAUGAUCCAUUUAAGUAAAAGCUGGGAAUCCUUGUAAAAGGUUUUAAGCAUUUCUUGAGCGUGCAUAGUUGAAUCCCAUGUAGGCACUUGCAGCUGCAUCCGUUUUCUGAUCCUUUAAUCUUUUUCUAAUUCUAUUGCAAUCACAGAAGGUAUUCUAAAAUGUUGCAGAAAUUUCUUGAUCCAUGAGAAUGCCAACCUUGUUUCUAACAUGUUCUUGGGGAUGGGCCAGCCGGUGUGGAAGGAGGCGCACGCCACGCUCCAGAAUAUUAUAUCAAGUUUCUUUUCUUAUUCUUGCUUCUUUCUGCCACAAUAGGUCUUCAAUUUUUUAUAAAAUUGACAGUUUUGUGAUAAUAUGUAGGAUCCUGUCAAGAUUUUUUUUCUAAAAAAGUGCUUGUUUGCUCCCUGCAAAAUACCAAUUCAGGAUGAUACAUGUUCUCACUUUUAUUCCUAAGCUGUCAGGUCACUUCCAGAGUUUCAGUUAUUUUUGGUAUAGUAUUAUCAGCAAACACUGUAUGUAGAUAAACUGUGCUUUAAUCAGUGAUAAUUUUCCUUGAUUCACUAUAUUAUAUCUAUCACAAUACUUGUUGCUUUCAGGCUGUCAUUGUUGGUCCAGGGAAUGAAUUGGGGAAACCUAUCGAUGUUAAUAAUGUUGAAGACCAUAUUUUUGGCCUAGCUUUGAUGAAGGAUUGGAGUGACAGAGAUAUCCAGGCUUGGGAUACUAUACCUCUUGGAUCUUUCCUGAAAAGCUUCAUAAUCACUGGAUACUAGUCAUCAUAAUUCUUGACAUGAGCUUAGCGAUAGGCAUGGACUCAUUGAGGAAAGAUCUACAACUAUACAAAGACAUGAAUGACAUGUUGAAAAGGGUUUGGAAGAAAUUCAGUCAAAAUCAUAAAGGUGAUUUCAGCGACGAACAAAAAUUGAAGACAAACUUUUCGAUGCAUACUGGAAGAUGAUGUGCACAUUUCAUUUAUUUUAUUAUAUGGAUACUUUAUUACUUCUCUUCCCUUAAAGUAUAUGAUGCAGGCAUAGGGCAAUAAUUUAUAUGCAUACUAUGUUUGCGAGAACAUUCACAGUCUAGUAGGUUCUUCCAAGACGAAUACUAGUUGACAGAUGGAAAUCCAUGCGAUGUGAGAUCAGCUCAUACUAGAGGAAAGGGUUUGGCAAUGCAGAUUUAUUAUUGAGCGGGACAUUGUUGACUGUUGUUAAGUGCAAAAUAUAUGUUGCAACUCCUGCAUAAACACAUAAAGAAUGAAUACCAAUAGUAGUGGUAUGAGUUAUCACUAA